GAUGAACGCUGGCGGCGUGCCUAAUACAUGCAAGUCGAGCGAACAGACGAGGAGCUUGCUCCUUUGACGUUAGCGGCGGACGGGUGAGUAACACGUGGGUAACCUACCUAUAAGACUGGGAUAACUUCGGGAAACCGGAGCUAAUACCGGAUAAUAUUUCGAACCGCAUGGUUCGAUAGUGAAAGAUGGCUUUGCUAUCACUUAUAGAUGGACCUGCGCCGUAUUAGCUAGUUGGUAAGGUAACGGCUUACCAAGGCAACGAUACGUAGCCGACCUGAGAGGGUGAUCGGCCACACUGGAACUGAAACACGGUCCAGACUCCUACGGCAGGCAGCAGGAGGGAAUCUUCCGCAAUGGGCGAAAGCCUGACGGAGCAACGCCGCGUGAGUGAUGAAGGUCUUCGGAUCGUAAAACUCUGUUAUUAGGGAAGAACAAACGUGUAAGUAACUGUGCACGUCUUGACGGUACCUAAUCAGAAAGCAACGGCUAACUACGUG
rnacentral:rRNA from 1 species